AUUGAACGCUGGCGGCAGGCCUAACACAUGCAAGUCGAGCGGAGCGGCGGACGGGUGAGUAAUGCCUAGGAAUCUGCCUGGUAGUGGGGGCUCACGUCCGGAAACGGGCGCUCAUACCGCAUACUAUCAGAUGAGCCUAGGUCGGAUUCGCUGGUUGGUGGGGUAAAGGCCUACCACGGCGACGAUCCGUAACUGGGCUGAGAGGAGGAUCAGUCACACUGGAAAGGAGACACGGUCCAGACGCCGAAGGGAGGCAGCAGUGGGGAAGAUUGGACAAUGGGCGAAAGCCUGAUCCAGCCAUGCCGCGUGUGGGAAGAAGGUCUUCGGAGUGGAAAGCACUUUAAGUUGGGAGGCGUUACCAACAGAAUAAGCACCGGCUAACUUCGUGCCAGCAGCAGCGGUAAUAC
rnacentral:rRNA from 1 species